AUGGGCGAACAGACAUGAUCCAGACCAUGCCGCGUGAGUGAUUGAAGGCCCUAGGGGUGGAUAAAGGUCUUCUUUACAACGGGUGAAAGAUAAAUGCACGGUAACGCGUAGAUAGUAAGUCCCCGGCUAAUACUUCGUGCCAGCAGCCGCGGUAAAUACGAAGGGGGCUAGCGUUGUUCGGAAUUACUGGGCGUAAAGCGCACGUAGGCGGAUAUUUAAGUCAGGGGUGAAAUCCCGGGGCUCAACCCCGGAACGUGCCUUAUGAUACUGGGUAUCUCGAGUCCGAGAGAGGUGAGUGGAAUUCCGAGUGUAGAGGUGAAAUUCGUAGAUAUUGCGGAGGAACACCAGUGGCGAAGGCGGCUCACUGGCUCGGUAYUAGACGCUGAGGUGCGAAAGCGUGGGGAGCAAACAGGAUUAGAUACCCGUGGUAGUCCACGCUGUAAACGAUGGAAGCUAGCCUGUUGGCAAGUUUAUACUGUCGGUGUCGCAGUCUCACGUCAUUAAGUCUUACCGUCCUGGG
rnacentral:rRNA from 1 species